GACUCGUACUCAGUCUUCGAACUGGUCUCGUACCGCGCUCUAUGCAGCGUGUCACACAGCCCCGCGAACAGCGGCAGCUUAGUUAACAACACCGUGUGCCGCUCCGCAUCGUCGACUCCGUCGUCUCUGUCGCUUGCUAAAUCUUCCUCCUCGUCUACCGGCUACCUUCACCAGUGUGUCGUGCACGACUCUCCUCCGCGACAUUUAUUCGCCGACCUAACUCUAACGUAUUGCUUGGAAUUCGUGCGGAAUUCCUAUUGGAUUCGCGUGGAAUUCCUAUCGGAUUCGCGUGGAAUUCCUAUCGGAUUCGCGUGGAAUUCCUACUGGAUUCGCGUAAAAUUAUCAUUGGAUGAUCGUUAAACUCUUGUGCACUUUUCAAUAAAUUCUCAUUCAAUUCUCGGAGUUUUCCCUUUCGGAACUCUCGCAAAUUCCUAUUGAAUUCGCACGGAACUAUCGUGAAAUCCCCAUUUAACUUCCUUCAAACUUUCGCAACUCUUGUGAAUUCAUUGAAUCUUCGUUGAACUCUCGUGAAAUUUCUAUCGAAUCUUGUUUAAUUCUCGAAACUCUCGAGACUCUAGUGAAAUUCUUGUCAAAUUCUUACAAAACUUGCGUAAAACUUUUGUCAAGUUCUCGCGAAACUCUCGUAGAUCUUUCGCAAAUUUCUCAGUCUUUUCAUGGGACACAAUCUUCCAAUCCGGCCGAAAGAAAUUAUUAUUUGAAACGAGAUCGAUAGCAAGGGGGAAGUUUGGAUUUGUCUGUGAUUCGGUGAAGAACAACGACUGAAGCAAAGACUGUGCGAUAUCGACGAGUGGAUUUACCAGAAACGAGUCUAUGACACGGAGGAUGACACAGAAGUAGCGACGACCUAGUAGUGGAUGCAGAAUAGAGAAGCGAGAUUUUCGCGACAGCACGAUGGACCUUCUUCUGUUGAUCGGAUUGCUUUCUCUGAUAUCAGGAGUUCUGGGAAAUUGUCCCCUGGUGCAAGCACCUCAGUGGGGAAGAGUGAGAGAGCGCGUCCUUAAGGAUGGUACUUUACAGACCGUGUACUCGUGUGAACCAGGCCGUAGAUUGAAGGGCCAUAAAAUACUGACUUGUACCGCCGACGGUUGGAAUCAUCCUAUCCCGAAAUGUGUGCCUCACGGUAAUUCUCGUUUCCUGCGCACAGUCUGACAACAGAUUCCGACACUUUCGCAACGAUCUGUAUCUCGGUGACGAUCCAAUUUCAACGACACCGUCGGAGGAAAGGGCGGCAAGGGAGAGGCUGAGGGCGCGCAAAAGGAUCGGUGAGCUGAAGAAGCGGAGGAAGGCCAAAGAGAGGAAACAGAGGUUGAAGCAAACCGGCGAGAAGUCGGCGCUCGAAUCGCCGCCAGCUAUGGCGCGCGCCGCGCUCAAUGAAACAAUAAUGUCGAGGUUGGAUCUCAGCUGCUUCAUGAAAGCUCGGAGAAAAGGAUUUGCUAAAGCUCCUCUGCUUGAAAACGCGAAUCCUGCCAAGUACGCCAGGAGGAAGAAUAUACUGCCACCGUACAAUCGAUACCUCGUAGCAGUUUACGAGUGCACCAAGGGAUACGUUUUCGAGGACUCCACGGCUGAUCGACUUUUCUGCAGCGAUAGCACUUGGUUAGGCGUACUUCCGCGUUGCGUAAAAGAGGAAGGUAAGAUGCCGUGAAAACAAAAUCGAUACAUGGAAAAAUAUUUGUCCGAGACAUUCAAGAUAAUACUACCUUUUAAAACGUUUUCGGACAGAAAAAUAUAGAAAAUUGAAGUUUCAAAGUAAUUUCCAUGUCCAAGCUUCAACUUGAGAACCUUCUUUUCUUUUUCCUUUGAUUUUGGUGGGAAUUAAAACCAAAAUGAAAUAACUUCCAAUGAAAGCUUUCACGUAAUUUUAUACGUCAAGAGGCUAUUUUAGUUUAAAACAUCGCAUUGGUGUUUUCCAAAAAAAAAAUCGUGAGUUAUUUUUGUAUCAGCGUUUUCUUAUCCAUUUUUGUUAUGCCUCAACAAUAUUCGUCAUUUUUUUAAAAUACAGGAAUGAUUAAAAUUAACUAAAUUAGAAGACAUUGAUUAUCGGCCCUUAAAAUAACGAAUCUCAUCUCAUU